rnacentral:rRNA from 1 species
UCGAGUCUUUGAACGCAAGUUGCGCCCGAGGCUAUCCGGCUGAGGGCACGCCUGCCUGGGCGUCACGC